AUGUAAUAAAUAGGACGUAAAAAAAGGGAUAAGGUGCAAAGAUUGAUUGCUCAUUCAAAUUCAAACUUUAUUUUGAAUUUGAAUGGCCAACCAAUCAUCCUUAUCCAUUUAUUUGGCACAUUAAAAUGGGGCGUGGAGAGGGCUUGGCGUGAGAAAAAAAUUCAUGAGAAGUUCCUUCUCAUGAAUUCAAAUGGGUGCAAUGGA
rnacentral:lncRNA from 1 species